rnacentral:rRNA from 1 species
AUGUUGUUCCCUCCACCGCCGGAGAAGCCUCCGCCACCGGACGCGGAGGAGGAAGUGCGGCCGGGUCGGCGUCGCAUGCCGGCCGUGGCGGCGGGCGUACCGCGGGGCCCGGCGGUGGCCGGGCGGGAUCCGGCGGCGCCGGCGCCGCCGACGGAGGACUGGGACUGCGAGGACGAGCGGGCCAUGAGGGGCUUCGGUUGCGCCGCCGGCUUCGCCUUCGUCUUCUCGUCGGGAUCUCCUGCGGAUGGAAAGAAAAGUCUCGCUCGCGCUCUCGAGUCUGGAUCUCGAGCUAACAAGAGUACAAGACUUGACGACGGAGCUACUGACCGACGAGGCCCACCGGUCAGUGAGCGGACAUAUACCCAGUUUGUUCCUCGUGCUGUUUGGAUUCUUUCCCUUUUGCGAAAAAAAGAGAAAGAAGUUGCCCUCUCAGAUUUCCAUCCAUAUCCUCCCCCUCGUAUCCUUUUGUUGUACUAUCGUUUAUGA